UGUUAGAGACGUCAUUUUCUAGCUUCUGCCUCUCUCUCUGCCUCAUGCUUCCCCAGCAUCUGCCUGCUGCCAUGGUUCUUCUACAGCAUCUGCCUGCUGCCAUGGUUCUUCUCCAGCAUCUGCCUGCUGCCAUGGUUCUUGUCCAGCAUCUGCCUGCAGCCAUGGUUCUUCUCCAGCAUCUGUUUGUGGCCACGCUUCUCCAGCAUCUGCCUUUGACCAUGCUUCCCACCAUGAUGGUCGGAGACUCACCCUCUCCAACUGUUGGAAAAGUGGAAUUGGGUGAAAUACAUGGACUAUGGGAUAUCUUGUCCUGCCUAGGAUAUCUUCAAUCAAAGCAUUCAGAACCACUGCUCUGGAUCAGCUUCUCGUGUUGGGAUUGACAUGAUCCACUGUGAGAUGGGGUACCAGCACCCUGGGAGGACUAAUGUUCUCUCCUUCCGCCUGCCAGGAUCACACAGAGAAUGGAUGAUUUGGACACAGACUCCAGCCUUCGGGAUUCACAUUCUUCCCAAGAAACCCACAGCCUGAGAGCCCAAGCAGACACACCCCCUCUGUUCUUGAAGCUACAAUCUUGCCAGGCAACCUAAUCUCACCUAGAGAAAAUGGUCUCAGGCUGAGAGUCAAGGGAAGGAAGGGCAGAGGUGCUGUCCCCGCCCCUCACCUGUAGACUUGGGAACAAGUUGAGGCAGGUUCUCAUCUUGGAUUUGUCUCUGAAGCGUGCACCAUAUUGCUCUCGUGAAAUUCACCCUAAACAAGUGUCCCCUUGGAUACUGAAAUACCAGAUUCAUUCUCUCCUCAUCAGUAGCUGUUUCUGGUAGAACUCUUCCUUUGUCUUUGUGUAUAAAUCAAUUUUCACAGUGCCUUGUACAGUUCAUGGAUCACAUUUUCCCAGUUCCCUGUUAAGUGGCACCCACUCACUUCAAUAGGAGGGACAUGUAAUUACUUGAAGGGAGAAUUUGGCUGAUAGGCUUAUUGACCGUGCCAGGCCCUCCAAAUGCACGUUUACCUUCUGCAACCACUAUUUAAGAAGAUUGCAUGCCGCAUGAAUUAGAGGUUAUGUGCUGAAGCCACCUCUGUCUUUAUACGUGCAUCCCUUAUCUUUCUCUCCAGGUAUUUUCCUCUCAGGUUCAUACCAGGUUAUCCUUUCUUUUUCUCUUUUCUUUGUUUUCCCUCUGACAUCCAUUUCUCCAGAUUUCAAAAGAAUAUCUACAGUUAGAGACUCUUUGUUUUUCUAAAGAUUAAGGGCCUUUCUCCUAAAUUCGGUUGCAAGGGAGAGAGCUGCCGAAUGUUAGUCCCUAGAGAUCUUGGGAAUUGGAAGCACUGUGAUUCCUGGACGGUUCUGCUGGGAUUUGUCAUCUCCUGACCUCUGGACCCAUUCUGGCCUGUGCAUCUGUCCUUUAUUUUCCUAGCACUGUUUCAGGAAGGAAAGGAAAUAUUGUCCCCUGCCGAAGCCGCAGUUUGGGGCCUGUGAGUCACUGGUGUCCCUCAGCAUGCUACACAUGCGUGUUGUGCAUGUCCAGAGGCUGGCAGCUACAGGUAACCAGCUGAGCGGUAUCCAAACAAGAACCUUUCAAAGAACUUUCCAGAAAUGCGUUUAUCUAUUUCCUCCUUCAAUUCCUCCCCACCCCUACUUUUCCUUCCUUCUGUCGGCAGCUCUCAGAUUAUGUUUUGAAAAAAGACAGAGAGGUUUAGAAACUAAAAUUCUAGAUCCAGUCUGCUCUUGACUUUGGCAUUAGAGAUAAGCUACCGAGUGUCUCUUGGACCUGGUUACUCCUUUUGUUGGUUAGGUAAUCAUUGAAAACCUACCAAAAGCAUGACAGUGCUUGGGACUGAGAGGCGAGGACAACACAUUUGGUCUUUCAUGAGUGGACAUUACUGCUGGAAAAUGAGUGGGACCACAAUGAGAGAGAACCCAGCGUCGUGGUGUCUCUGUAUUUUCUGUUAAGAAAUUGGCAUAGGAUUAUACCUGUUUUACCUCCCAGACACUAAAGCAUCCUUUAAAAUGCAGCCCAGGCAAAAAGGACUUUCUAAAGAACAAAGGUGGGGGACCCGCACUUCCUGAUUUUCAGGCUUACUGUAAAAGCUGUAAUCACUUGACAGUGUGGUUGGUAGUCAUAGGAUAGGCGUGUAGAUCAACGUGACAGAGUUGAGAGCUCAGAAAGAGACUCCUUUUUACACGGUCAAUUGAGUUUUGAUAAACUAUGGUGACCAAAAGUAGAAUCUUUACUAUGUAACUAGAUCUCUUUAUAAGAAAGGUGCCUCGGCCUUUUUCCUCACAACGUAUUAAAAAUUCAAUUCAAAACGUCAUAGAACUAAAUAUGAAAGCUAAUAUAAAGAUUCUAGAAUAGCAUAUGUAAGAAGAACAUAUGUCUUUUUUCAAAAAGAGAGAGAGGUUUAGAAACUAAAGUUCUAGAUCCAGUCUGCUCUUGACUUUGGCAUUAGAGAUAAGCUACCGAGUGUCUCUUGGACCUGGUUAUUCCUUUGGUUGGCUAGGUAAAUUGUUGAAAACCUACCAAAAGCAUGACAGUGCUUGGAUAAUAUAUAAUGUUGUUGGGUAGUCUUAAAUUUCUCACUUAGAGCCCAGAGACACGAGACUUAAAAAGCACUUAUUUUAAAACCUUCUAAGGCCAGAUGUGAUGGUGCACACAUAUAAUUUUAGCAUUUACGAGGCAGAUGUAGGAAGAGCACUAGAAGUCUCGGGCUAGCCUGUUCUACAUAAUAAAUCCCAGUCAAUCCUUCACUGCAGAGUGUGAUCCCGUCUCAAGACACAAUCAAACCAAACAAACAAUCAAGAAAAAAAAAUAGACUUUAUAAAGUUUAAAAACAUUAGCUGGCCAAAAAUGUAACUGAGAAAAUUAAAAAGCCAUUAACUGAGAGAAAAUAUUUGUGUGGUAUAUAAUUGACAAAUGACUCCUAUUUAGAUAAC